CCUACGGGGUGCAGCAGUGAGGAAUAUUGGUCAAUGGGCGGAAGCCUGAACCAGCCAAGUAGCGUGCAGGAUGACGGCCCUACGGGUUGUAAACUGCUUUUAUACGGGAAUAACGCGCCUUACGUGUAGGGCUUUGCAUGUACCGUAUGAAUAAGGACCGGCUAAUUCCGUGCCAGCAGCCGCGGUAAUACGGAAGGUCCGGGCGUUAUCCGGCUUUAUUGGGUUUAAAGGGAGCGUAGGCCGCAUGUCAAGCGUGCUGUGAAAUGUCCGGGCUCAACCCGGGCCUUGCAGCGCGAACUGGCGUGCUUGAGUCCGCGGAAAGCAGGCGGAAUUCGUCGUGUAGCGGUGAAAUGCUUAGAUAUGACGAAGAACCCCGAUUGCGAAGGCAGCUUGCUGCAGCGGAACUGACGCUGAUGCUCGAAAGCGUGGGGAUCGAACAGGAUUAGAUACCCUUGUAGUC
rnacentral:rRNA from 1 species